rnacentral:lncRNA from 1 species
GCAGUUGUGAAGGAGAGGGCGGGUGGUAGUCAGGAGUCUCAGCUAUGUAGCACUGAAAAUGAAUGUGGUGAUAACAAGCCACUGUCCAAGUGUGAGCCAGGCACGUGCGGGCGUUGCCUGUGUCUUUGUUACUAAACUUGUCAUCCUUACACCCACAGUGUCAGAAUCACUGUGAGCUUGUUGGAAACGCUGGAGCUCAGACUCAGCCAACAGCACCUGAGUCAGAAUCUGCGCAUUCCUCCUGGGAGAUUGGCCGGUACUGCAAGGGUCGCACCCCAACGUCUCUCCAACAUUCCGGGAAGUGGAGUAUGGUUUUGUUUUGUUUUCCUUCAGCUCUUACUGAUGAGGAGACAGAGAUCCCAGAGACUUGGAGUUAGUUAUAGAGUCACACUGACUGGAGGCGAUAAGUGAGGAUUUCAGCCCCUGGACAGAGUCACUUCAAAACCCCAACGGAAGCGAUGAUGUGGGGGAGGGGCCACGAGCAGCUUCUCGCUAAGCUUUUGAUUCCGGUUGUCUGACCAGCUUCCUCCCCGAGCUGCCCACGGAAGGACAUCUAAAGCUCCCAUCUAAAGAAUAGGGUGCUAGGAGUUCUUUCCCCUUAGUUCUUUGGGGACAUUUCAGGGUGUGUGUCUGUGCAGGACAGUCCUUAGGUGGGCUCUGAGAGUAGCCCUUUGCACUCUGAGGCAACCGCCAGACCAUGGUUCAGAGCACAAACAUCGCCGCCUGUCACUGCCGUAGCACGUCAGCCAUCAGCUGGGAAUGGUCUAGUCUCCUUCAAUCCAUCAUGCAGGGUUUCCAAGACUCUCACUCCAAGACCGCUCAGUGGGCCCUUCCCCCACCCAGGCCCAUGGGAUCCACCCGCAGUUUCUUUCCAUAGAGCCUGUGAAACCAUAAUCCAAACAACCCUACGCUUUGGAGAGAAACAGGAAGAACGCCAAAGAACUCUAGAGCCAACCAUCCAUCGCACCUGCAUCAAGUGCCUCAGAGACACUGAGACAGGAUGGGGCUGUCACCUGAUAUCAUAGGAAGAGGUAGCCAGGCUCAUUUCUAUCUUCUAGAGGAAGAAUGACAUCUUUUAAUGGACUCCCUGAGAAAGCAGACAGCAGCCCUGCCUCAGAAACCCAGAGUAGGCUGUGGAUCCCACAGUUCUGGGAAUGAGGUGGGAAACAGGGAUGACCUCAGAUUCUUCCAGAGGCUCCAGCACCAUGCUCACUUGCACCCCAGCCUCCACCAUAGAAGAACUUUACAGACCCUUCUCUGGAGCCACUUCCCUCAGGUGUUGGGCAGAUCAAAGCCAAGGCCUACAGCUGAGCAGCUGAACAGGAUGGGUGGUAGGUGUUUUGCAAUCCAAUCUCCAGGAUCCUGUGGGGGAACGCAGGCCCUGAUGGUUAGCACUGUCCAUUUGGUCACCUAGGAGACAGACGUCUCAGCAGGCUUGGGAAGGAUAGGCUAGAUGAGAGUGAGCAUUGCUGGUGGGAAGACCCAGCUUAACUGUCCAUGGUACCAUUCCGUGAGCUGGGGUCCUGGGAUGAAUAAAACGUGUGUGUGGAUGGCUACUGUUCAUUGGAAAGUUGACUGCAUCAGAAUUAGUGCAAAAACACCCACCACCCAUCCAGUGCAGAAAUGGAGAGCAUAUCCGUGAGAGAUAUAUUGCUGGGUCUGAAGUGGGUGAGUCCACUUCUACUCCAGACCUUUAAGGUAGGAAGACAUAGACCUUUAAUCUUGUUCCUC